AUCUUUGUGGUCAACGAAUGCAGGGUAUGGUCCACCAUUGCCUUGGCUAACAAGGUUGAAAAUUGCUCUUGGAACUGCAAAAGGACUAGCUUUCCUUCAUGAAGAAGAGAAGCCAGUCAUAUACAGGGAUUUCAAAACUUCAAAUAUCUUAUUAGACUUGGCUUACAAUGCAAAGGUCUCGGAUUUCGGAUUGGCAACCGACGGUCCAGAAGGCGAAAAAUCUCAUGUUACAACUGCUGUAAUGGGCACAGAAGGCUAUGCUGCUCCGGAAUACAUUACAACAGGGCAUUUGACGACUAUGAGCGAUGCGUUCAGCUUCGGAGUGGUUCUGUUAGAACUUGUUAGGAAUAUUAAGUCAGUAAGCUAAA